CAGGGGACACACAUAACCAUGUUUCCAAAGUAACAAUGAUAAUAAAGGUGGCCAUGCUUAUUUGCCUCUGCCUGAUGCCUUAUAUCUUGACAGGCUGUGGGCACAGAAGGAAAAGAUAGAUUGAUUUUAUGUACCCCAAAGUGCCCUGCGGCAUGCAGGAGAAUGGAGGGACCAAGCUGGAGUAGAAUUAAGAUGAGGAGUAUGGUGUGAUGAACUCAUCUCGGAGUUGCUGCUGGUAUUCUGUAGAGCCCACAAAGAACUCUACAGACUGGAAGCAACCUUUGGCGCUGCCCUAAGUAACCCACUGGGGAGGUGAAACUCACGCGGGAGGUGGCAGCUGUUCCAUCUCAAUCUCAGAACUCAACUCUAAGACAUUUUUUUUAUGCAGCCAUAUUUUAUCUCUACUCCUUUAGUACAGAUAGUUAAAAAUAUUAACUUUGGGUAGACCUCGGCGUGUUUUUCUUGUGUGUUGUAUGGGCAAGGAGUCCAUUCAUAUGUGAUUAAUGUGAUGUACAUAUGUAGUGUGUAUGCCUGUGUCUCUACAUGACCCAUACACACAAGUGUUUCAUGUGCUGUGGGGGGUGGCAUGUGCAUUCAUAGUCCAUGAGUGUAUGCACCAGGUCAGAGGUUCCUGAGAGCAAUGUGACAGAUUUCUGUUAUUUCCACACAUUUCCUAACAUCAAGUUCUUGCUAUGGUACAGUAACACACAGCCUCUGUGAGUGGCAAUCCUGGAGUGGAUAGGAAGUUUUGAGGACAUUCUUUUGUUUGCUGUUUUUGCUUUGUUUUCAUUUUUCUUUUUUUUUUUCCUAAGAAUUCAAAGAUGAACUCUUUUAAAGAUUUAUUUGUUUGGUUUUUUUUUAAUGUAUAUAUAGGAGGAUAUAACAAUAUAGGUAUAGGUGAAGGUCAGAGCAGCCAGGGACUAGAUCACUACCAAAGAGGUGGUGGGACUCAUGGUUCCAGCUGCAUAUGUUUUCAUUUUACAAGACAGGGUCUCACUGUGUACUUCUGGUUGUCCUGGAACUCACUAUGUAGAGACCAGCCUGGUCUUGAACUCACAGAGAUUCAUCUGCCUCUGCCUCCUGAGAGCUGGCUUAGAGGUGUGUGCAACUAUCCCCAGCUAGAAAACAUUCUUAAUGACCUACUUGAGGGGAUCCACUUGCAGCUGAACAAGACUGGUUUGGGAUUCAUGGCCACACCAUUCAUAAACUCCUAACGUAUUUAGUGUCUGUGAAACAACCAUCUGGUUUGCUUCUGAUGAUUCAGAUCUCCUCAUCACUGGAACUUCUUUGGAGAAAUUCAGGGAAUGAGGAAAGACAAACCCCCUGCUCAACUAGAAAAUGCUAACUCUUUCCUUAGUAAGCACAGCUGAAAUAAUAAUAAAGCAACUUAGUUGCUCUCUGUGAGAGCUGGCUCCUUUCUUUCCAGGGAAGUGUCUUCAAAACAAAUGAGGAGAAUUUGGAAGCUAAACCCUCCAGAAUAUGAAUAUAUAUACUCAAGGUAAGAAGGUAAGAACCGGAACUAGCAAAGCCAUGUCUGUACCCCCUCUUCCCAGCAGGGGGCGCGAGUGUGGCCUUUCAGACCAGCAUCCCAGCCUCUUCCUCUGCCAGGGAACUGCUCAUUUUUAUGUCCUUCCUCAGGUUGCCUUGUUUACUUAUUUCCUCUUUUUCAGAAGGGAGGUACCCCUUUAUUCCGAGGUGCACCCCGUCCCACAGUCCCCAGGACAACCGUUGACUGGCUCAGACCCAAGAUACCAAGAGAAUGCUUAUCCUCUCCAGGACCAGCCCUGACGAAGGGCCAUGUUUUGGGAAUGCUAAAUCCAGAUCAGACUCAUAAUGGUAAACUGAAGUUGGGCUGUGCCCUGAGACCUCGAGCGCCCAUUCACUUGCCAAUGUGGCAUCAAUCAAAUAAUUCUUAUCCCGUAAGAAGUUAUGGGGCAGGAGAGCUGGUCUAUCAGGUAAAGUGUUCACAACACAAGC
rnacentral:lncRNA from 1 species